rnacentral:rRNA from 1 species
GUGUGUUAGUAUGUGUCACACGGGACUGCCGGUCUUAAGCCGGAGGAAGGUGGGGAUGAUGUCAAGUCAGCAUGGCCUUUAUAUCCUGGGCUACACACACGCUACAAUGGCCAACACAAUAGGUUGCUAAGCCGCGAGGUGGCGCCAAUCCAUAAAGUUGGUCUCAGUUCAGAUUGUAGGCUGCAACCCGCCUGCAUGAAGAUGGAGUUGCUAGUAACCGCAGGUCAGCUAUACUGCGGUGAAUACGUUCCCGGGGCUU